rnacentral:rRNA from 1 species
AGUGAACGCUGGCGGCAGGCCUAACACAUGCAAGUCGAACGGCAGCACAGUAAGAGCUUGCUCUUACGGGUGGCGAGUGGCGGACGGGUGAGGAAUACAUCGUAAUCUACUUUUUCGUGGGGGAUAACGUAGGGAAACUUACGCUAAUACCGCAUACGACCUACGGGUGAAAGCAGUGGAUCUUCGGACCUUGCGCGAUUGAAUGAGCCGAUGUCGGAUUAGCUAGUUGGCGGGGUAAAGGCCCACCAAGGCGACGAUCCGUAGCUGGUCUGAGAGGAUGAUCAGCCACACUGGAACUGAGACACGGUCCAGGCUCCUACGGGAGGCAGCAGUGGGGAAUAUUGGACAGUGGGCGCGAGCCUGGUCCAGCCAUACCGCGUGGGUGAAGAAGGCCUUCGGGUUGUAAAGCCCUUUUGUUGGGAGAGAAAAGCAGCAGGUUAAUACCCCGCUGUUCUGACGGUACCCAAAGAAUAAGCACCGGCUAACUUCGUG